GCCCUUUUAGCUCAGUGGUAGAGCGUCGCACUCGUACUGUUGCACACUAUGCGAAGGUCCACGGUUCAAUCCCGUGAGGGGGCA
rnacentral:tRNA from 2 species